AGAAGGCAUGGAUGUCAAUCCUAGCUACAGCUGUGUGACGCUGGCCCUCUCUCAGCCUCAGUUUCUGCUUCUGUAAAAUGGGAAAUGAUAACGAGGGUUGCAUUGCCUACCUCUCAGAGUGAUUGGGAGUAAAGUGCUUUGUCAUCUUUAAAGCGUUACAGAUUCGUGAAUGAGGAAGAUGAUGAGACAUCUGUGGCAUCCGCCCCUCCUGGGUGGCCCAUGGCGGGAGGCUUCUCAGUAGGACAACUGAGCCGUACCUAGGGGGCUCUUAAGUCCGCUUAAUCAAUGGGGCUGCAGCGGACAGCGAGACUCAAUCCCCAACUGAUCCACCUGACCUGGGCUAGACCGCCGGAAAACAGCCCGAGGCUUUGCGGUUUGCUAGAAAACAAAGGAACAGAAAGACCCACCCAAAGCUAGAGAAAUGAACCCUAAGACCUUGCAGAGUAAAGCUUGAUAUGGAAAUAUGAUCCUAUCUUGGAAGUGGGGAACAUCAUUAGGGCUGCCAUCCACUAGUACAUUAUGCCAACUUGGGAAAAUAAGACUCAUCUUCCUGAGUUCAAAUCUGACCUCGGAUACUUCCUAGUUGUCUGACCCUGGAAAGGGUUCCAUUUCAAGAGGAUAGAGUAGGAGGGAAGAUAUUUCCAGAAAUGAUGAUGAUCUGAAAAGGCAUCAAUAAAGCGUAUUAAUAAAUGAAUGAA